GUCGUGAGAUGUUGGGUUAAGUCCCGCAACGAGCGCAACCCUUGCCUUUAGUUGCCAUCAUUAAGUUGGGCACUCUAAAGGGACUGCCCGUGUCAAACGGGAGGAAGGCGGGGAUGACGUCAAGUCCUCAUGGCCCUUAUGUCCGGGGCUACACACGUGCUACAAUGGGCGGUACAAAGGGUAGCAAACCCGCGAGGGGGAGCCAAUCCCAAAAAGCCGCUCUCAGUUCGGAUUGGAGUCUGCAACUCGACUCCAUGAAGGCGGAAUCGCUAGUAAUCGCGGAUCAGCAUGCCGCGGUGAAUACGUUCCCGGGCCUUGUACACACCGCCCGUCACACCAUGGAAGCCAGCUGUACCGGAAGUCGGUGAUGGAACCCGCAAGGGACCUAGCCGCCGAUGGUAUGACUGGUGACUGGGGUGAAGUCGUAACAAGGUAGCCGUAGGGGAACCUGCGGCUGGAUCACCUCCUUUCUAAGGAGCUCCUGCCCGAAAGGGUUGGGACACCUAGGUCAAUCCGCGUGCAAAAAGGGGUGUGCGGUUCACUGUGGCUCGCUACUAUUUAGUUCUGAGGGACUGACGCGUUGGAUCCACGUCAGUCGCGACCGCGCGGCUGACCGUGGGCCUAUAGCUCAGCUGGCUAGAGCGCACCCCUGAUAAGGGUGAGGUCGGUAGUUCGAUCCUACCUAGGCCCAUUUAAUAUGAGGCGGUGCAUGGGGCUGUAGCUCAGCUGGGAGAGCACCGGCUUUGCAAGCCGGGGGUCGUGGGUUCGAUGCCCAUCAGCUCCACUGGCAUUCAGCUGACUCGCCUAAGGGAUCUCGCCGAGGUCCUUUAGGGAAGUGAGCUUCGUGCUUGCUUUCGAAGCGGGCCGUGCCCCCAUGGGCAUCGUCAGGCUCUUUGACAACUGAAUAGUGUGUACGGGUAGCCGGCGAGUGCAAGCGCAUGGAUGCUCUUGCAUUAUGGUCAAGCUACUAAGAGCACACGGUGGAUGCCUAGGCGCGAGAAGGCGAUGAAGGACGUGGCUAGCUGCGAUAAGCCCCGGGGAGCCGCUAAGCAGGCUUUGAUCCGAGGAUUU
rnacentral:sRNA from 1 species